GACGAACGCUGGCGGCGUGCUCAACACAUGCAAGUCGAACGGAAAGGCCCUGCGUUUGUGGGGUGCUCGAGUGGCGAACGGGUGAGUAACACGUGAGUAACCUGCCCCUGACUGUGUGAGAACUUCAGGAAACUGAGGCGAAUACCCGAUAUGAUCUCCUGCUGCGUGGGGGGGGUUGGAAAGUGUCGGUGGUGGGGGAUGGACUCGCGGCUUAUGAGCUGGUUGGUGGGGUAGUGGCGGACCAAGGCUUUGACGGGUAGCCGGCCUGAGAGGGUGACCGGCCACAUUGGGACUGAGAUACGGCCCAGACUCCUACGGGCGGCAGCAGUGGGGAAUAUUGCACAAUGGGCGGAAGCCUGAGGCAGCAACGCCGCGUGCGGGAUGCCGGCCUUCGGGUUGUAAACCGCUUUCGCCUGUGACGAAGCGUGAGUGACGGUAAUGGGUAAAGAAGCACCGGCUAACUACGUG
rnacentral:rRNA from 1 species